rnacentral:rRNA from 1 species
AAAUUGAAGAGUUUGAUCAUGGCUCAGAUUGAACGCUGGCGGCAGGCCUAACACAUGCAAGUCGAACGGUAGCACAGAGAGCUUGCUCUCGGGUGACGAGUGGCGGACGGGUGAGUAAUGUCUGGGAAACUGCCUGAUU